GGCGAACGCUGGCGGCGUGCCUAAUACAUGCAAGUUGAGCGCUGAAGGUUGGUACUUGUACCAACUGGAUGAGCAGCGAACGGGUGAGUAACGCGUGGGGAAUCUGCCUUUGAGCGGGGGACAACAUUUGGAAACGAAUGCUAAUACCGCAUAAAAACUUUAAACACAAGUUUUAAGUUUGAAAGAUGCAAUUGCAUCACUCAAAGAUGAUCCCGCGUUGUAUUAGCUAGUUGGUGAGGUAAAGGCUCACCAAGGCGAUGAUACAUAGCCGACCUGAGAGGGUGAUCGGCCACAUUGGGACUGAGACACGGCCCAAACUCCUACGGGCGGCAGCAGUAGGGAAUCUUCGGCAAUGGACGAAAGUCUGACCGAGCAACGCCGCGUGAGUGAAGAAGGUUUUCGGAUCGUAAAACUCUGUUGGUAGAGAAGAACGUUGGUGAGAGUGGAAAGCUCAUCAAGUGACGGUAACUACCCAGAAAGGGACGGCUAACUACGUG
rnacentral:rRNA from 1 species